UUUCUCAUCUUUUCAUCUAUUUUUUUUAUUUCUUUUUCUUUGUAUUAUUUUUUUCAUUUUCUCCUUUCUCAUUCUUAUUUUAUCAUUUGUAUUCUCUUGAGACCUACAUGGGUUAAUAAAUAUAAACUUCUAAUUAUCCCAUUUAGCCUAUACAAUUCAUAGCAUCUCUUUUCAAUUAAAUAUAAUCUAUAUAUAGUUUCUCCCC
rnacentral:lncRNA from 1 species